AUGUGCCUCAAGUGGAGAGGAAACCCAAGCCAAGCAUGGACUGGUCUUUUGGCCUAGAGAGAUUUCCUAGCAAGCUCAGGAAGCCUUAGGGCCCUCUCAGGAUCCAGCUGAGUAAUAGCAGAUUAAGUGCAGCUUGUUUGGUGGCACCCUACCCACAAGCUUAAGCAGAAGGUGGAACUUAAGACAAGGUCAUGCACCGGCCACCUUCUACCUUUGUCUGAAUAUAGCUUGCUCCUGUUACAAAUUAUCGUGUGUGACUUGAGGCAGCAGGUUUGAACAAGAGGUUGUAGAGGACAGGAUAGCUGUACACAUGCCAGGCUAAACAUUGAGGGUAUAUUUGUGCUGCAUAGUACUGACACUCAAGUUAGCUUGGUUACAAGGAGCAGUCUUGCUAUGAUACUGUAUAGCUCUGUGUACCUAAUUUACCCUGAUGAGAAAUUGUGUAGCUUCCAAUCUCCUUAUCCAAAGCAGGGGGAAAAGGCUAUUUCUAUUGAUUUGAGUGAUGCAGGUGUAUUUGGUUUGGCAGCCACCUCUAACUAGUCCCUUUCUUUCCCUGGAAUCUUUGCCCUCCCCAUCUGAUGGCAUAGAGUCCCUAUGCUCAGACUAUUUUUUAAGCAGCAGCUGUUCUAAAAAGUGACGUGAGGGGUCUAGAAUGAAUUACUGACACUGUAGAGAUGGAAGGAAGGAAGUUCAGUCCCGGUUGUCUGAAUGUGAGAGAAAUGUGAGCUGGUGGCUGGCACUACUUGCAUCCCUCUAAAACAGAAAAUGUUUGCUGCUUCCCUAACUGUGUUCUCAAGGUGAGAGAAGUAAAACUGUCAUAGUUCACUCUACAGCGUGCAUACUCUUCCCUGACAGUAUAGGUGCUGGGUGAGUGAGUACUCCAAGUUUGUGGACUCUUCUGUUGGUGUGGUUUAAUUUAUAAAUAUAUUUUGUUUUUUUAAUAAAACUGUGAAUAAAUAAGAGCAGCUGUUUGGAAAUCUUACUAGGUAUCAGUCCAAACUUCUUAAACAAUAUUUGCUACAUUACAAAGAUCUACUUUAGAGCUGUUAUGUAGACCUGGAGUUCCUUUGGAGCCACAUGCCCAGAUAAAGAUUUCACUUAUGUAACAUUAUUAUACAACAUAUUGGAAGUCUCUAAUGCAAAUACAACAAGUAUGAUAAAAUACAGUAAAAUCUCAAUAAAAUACGAAGUGUCAAUGAAACCUGGUCGUCUUGCUCUUCUCUUAGCUGCCUUUUUUCCUGGUUGUCUUGCUCAAACUUUAUACAGCCAGGGCUUUUUCAGCAUAGCUGUAGCUUAAUAAAAUAGUUGGGCAUGGAGCUGUGGUGAGAGAAUUUGCUGCUCUUUAGAGCAGUGAUCCAUUCCACUCCUAAUCUAUAAAAAAUAAUCUGGAAAAUGGCUGGGCAGGAUUGAUCAGAAAUAUCAACCUCUUAAAUUAAACAGUUCUGUAGUUGUUGGAUUUUAAGUUGAACUGUUGAUUUCUGGAUUUUAAUUUGAACUGUUGAUCCAACUGCAGCUUUGUUCUAACAAAUUAGAAUUCAAGAAAUAAGUUCUGGACUCUAAUAUUAUCUAAGCAGCUUUCUGGGUUUCCUACUCUGGGUGCUGACAACUAGUAGGUGUCACACAAAGAAAGGGCCGAUUGAUGGGUCAAGCAGACUUUGGCUUUCAUGUAAAGUGUUAAUAAUUCUUGAUCAUUUUGAACCUAGAAUUGCUUUUAUUGAGAGGUUUUUUUUUAACUUUAACUGCAAUUGGAAUGUAAACAUUUUCUGUACCUCUAAGUGCAUUGCCAGCUCUGAAUACAGUAUGUAAAAACUUAGUUACAAAAUGUGACUUUUUUUGUAAAACUUUGCAGAAAUGGACUGUGAAAUAUGAACAAAAUAAAGUAUAUGCUUGAAAACCUA